UACUGGAGCUCUGCUAACUUCACCUGCUGUAUUACAAAACUACUCUCCCUCAGUCUACCAACCCGGGGAAUGGAGGCUGCUCCAGCAGAGAGGGUGGAAGUCACAUGCUCUAGAUCUGAAAGCUCAGGUCCGUGCUAACCAGGAUUCAGCAUCACCUCCAGCACACCUGUGGCUGAGGCUGGCUCUCUGACAAACUGUGCCUUCAUGGAAACAUCAACUGUAUGGAAAAACUCCGAGUGCGACAUCUGCUCUGUUGCGUACAACAGUCCUGUGGAGGAAAUAAUCAACUACAUUUUCAGGUUCAAAUUGCUACAAAUGAUACUGGAAGCAACUGUGUACUUCGUUUGAAUUUAUAAUUUUGAUGAUAUUUUUAAAAGACCACUUCAAGACUGACAAGUUUAAACGCGGACGCAGACUGCUCCCUGCGCUAAUCUCUCAAGGAGACGAUGCGAUUUUGCACGGAAGCAGCAAGAGAGAGAAACACGCAAGGAGAAACCGCGCCGCCGAGCGCUCGGGCCGCGCGGGGAGCGGACGGCGGGUUCAGAGGAGCGCAGGUGAUGCGGGCCCGGUGGGGGAGGGGCGGGGAGCGGGAGAGGGGCUUCCCCUCCCCGCCUUCAGGGGCGGGUCGGGCCUGUCAGUUUGCCAAAAAAGUCAAACAGGCGGUGCAGAAAUUGCCGGGUGGAGGGUUGUUUUCCAGGGUGCCACCCCAAAGGCUGCUAGAGGAGACUCUAGGGCGAGGGGGCUGGACCGGGAGGCGACAUCGCGGCUGCAUCUCAGGGGGUGGCGGGGGUGGCCCUAGGGAAGCCACCGCUCUGGGGCAUCUCUAGACGGCGGCGAUUGCUGCUGUAACUUUUUAGGGCGCCUGGCGACCCCCCACUCCCCACCCCGCGGCGUUGCCAACCUGCUGCAAGCGCCCGGCCCCACCCCGCGAAGCGGACACUCACCUGCGCGCUCCGCCGCCGCGGCAGGAAGCGAGUGGAGAGGCCGGAGACCGCCGGGGCUGCGGGGAGAGCGGCAACCCGGGGGACAGAACCAGACGGCUGGGAGCCGAGG